GGUUCUUAGAUCGUACAAUCCUACUUGGAUAACUGUGGUAAUUCUAGAGCUAAUACAUGCAACACAGCUCCGACCUUGCGGGAAGAGAGCUUUUAUUUGAUCAAAACCAAUCGGUCGCAAGGCCGUCUUCUUGGUGAAUCUGGAUAACUUUGUGCUGAUCGCACGGGCUUGCCCCGGCGACGUAUCUUUCAAAUGUCUGCCCUAUCAACUUUCGAUGGUACGUGAUAUGCCUACCAUGGUUGUAACGGGUAACGAA
rnacentral:rRNA from 1 species